AAAACAACUGGUAAAACACAGAAAAUACAGAAUCAGAAAUUCCUUCAUAUAUAUAAAGUACAUCAUGCCACGUUUUUGCAGUUUGUUUAACACUUUAGUACUUCUAUUCAAGUAGUCCCUCCAAAUCCCACACUGAAACAAUAUAAUGGUGUAGGAUUUACUUAAAAGAAAAAAUCUAAUAGGUAAUAUUACAAGAAACACUUCUUUAAACAUGACAUUUUUUUUGCAUUUAUUAUUAUUAUUUUUAUUUUGCACAGUGCAGUAGUGGUUUAUUCCAUUGUUACUGGUAAAAACCUUCAUUGAAUUAUGUUGGGUUAAUAUAUGAACUGUUCACUUCAGAUUAACAUGCACUAGUUACAUUUUUAAUCUUACUUUAACUAUACAGUAGCCAUUCUGACAAUAGUAUUUACAUUUCACAAGUUAAAAAAGCAAUUUUAUCUAAUGAUAUAUUGUAAGGAAUGUUAUUUACUGUUGGAAUAUAUAUGUGUGCCUCAUAAAUAAGUAAUAGUAUCUAACAAAGGUGUACAAGUAAAAACACAAGUACAAGGAAUAAAUGCAGCAACAAUUAGAAAUAUAUCAUUUGAAGUGAGCAUUUAAAUCUCUGUACCACAAAUCCAAAUAAAAUGUUAAAUGACAAAAAAUGUAGCUUCCAGAAACAGUCAAGACACCUGUUACUUCAGAAAUGGUAACAUAGCAAAAGUAAGUGCUAGUAUCUAAUAUGUACUUUACUAGUAAAAUUAAACAGACACAAGUCACUACUGAAUGACUUACUCGUAAUAAAAAUGUAAUAUUAAUAUAAAAAACAGUUUAAGGUUAAUGUUAAUAUGGCUUGCCACAAAAUCAGUAUUUCGUUGAUGACAAGUUAAUAGCUAUUCUAUAGAAAUGCACUCAUUUAAACGCAUAGAUUGCUUUGACAUGACAUUGCUGGAAACUUAGUCCAAUUUAUUCUCACCAGAAUAGUGAUGGAAGCACUUAUUAUAAUUCAAGAAGAGGUAGCCUAAUUAAAGGCAAUGUGUAUUUUUCUUACAUUUCUGUCAAGCAUCACUCAGAUAAUAUAUGACUUGUUGGAAUAAUUGUCUUAAAUGACUAAUUUUGUCACUUUUAUUGUGUUGCUGUAUCUUUGAGACCGUUCCAUAGCAGCCAGUGAAAGAUGCAAAAGAUGCUGUAUGUCAACUUUUAUUUUUUUUCAGUUUGUGCUACUAUCUGUGCAGAGUUCAAAGACCUAAUAAUUCAGAUCUAACAUGUUCAGAUUCAAGCACAAAUUCAGAGACUUGCUAGUGUGCACAGAUCACUGAAGACAAGAGGGAGGGGAAAGAUCAGAGACUGAAAGCGCUUUCGACUGGAUACUUCUAAUCACGUCGGAGUGAUGCAGUCUCCAUAGCGACGACAGGUUCCUCGGUAACCCGCUAUUGUUGCCAUGGAAUUUUUUUUUGUUUUUUUUUUUGGUGUCCUCAGUAAUCCGCCAGAAUGUUUUUAAGUCUGGCUGAAGAUUUGGUCUCCUGCUGGAUUUUGUAAACUGGUGAAAAUUGAUUUUCUCAUCUAACCAGAGGGUCAUAACAACAACAACAACAUGAACAAACAGAGAAAAAUAUCUGGAGUGUCUUCACAAGACCCCAAACUAUUAAGCCACACUCCGGGAUAAAGUGCAAUACAUGUGAAAGUUUCGUCACUGAAGUGUUCUAGCACAAACAAGCACAGACAGAAGUGAAAAUAAAUGGGUGUGAUACACUGAUCAUUCACGAGGGGCUGCUGUAUCUACGCCAAACGCUUGGAGAUUUCCACCAUCUCUAUUCUCCUACAGGAUGGACUUCCCGCCUUGUUUUAAGAGACAGCAAUGAGGAAGGAAACAGAGGCGGAUGAAGCUUUAAAGGAGUUUAAUCUCUGUGUGGACCCCAGCUUGCCAAACGUAGGUGCUCGUGGACUGUUCCCUGCUCCUCCACACUUCUGAGAGGAGGUGCCUUCAAAAUCAUCCCCCCGUCCAGCCUCCGGGCCCUGAUUUCCCCCUGGCUAGACUGCCUCAGCGCACCACCUGCCUUUUCUGUGUCAGUAUUCUGUCUCUUAACAAAAGAAGACGGACUCCUGUGUUGAUGUGCUGUUUCUGCUGCUCAAUGUAAGACUCUAAACUCCACACAAGUGCUUCUACACGCUCCCACCGUCGUAGCCCAGCAGUGCUGAGGGCUGUGCUAGCGAUGCUAGCUCCAUCAGCUGUCAUGUGUCGUCAGGCUGUGAUGUCAUCUUUGACGUUGCUGUAUAAACUGAUAGUCAUAAAUGUGAUGCCUCCUUGU